CCUACGGGGGCGCUUGGGGAUGAGCUCGCGCCCUAUUAGCUAGUUGGUGGGGUAAUGGCCUACCAAGGUAAUGAUGGGUAGCCGGCCUGAGAGGGUGUACGGCCACACUGGAACUGCGACACGGUCCAGACUCCUACGGGAGGCAGCAGUGGGGAAGUUUUGCGCAAUGGGCGAAAGCCUGACGCAGCGACGCCGCGUGGAGGAUGACGGCCUUCGGGUUGUAAACUCCUGUCAGAGGUGAAGAAUGCCCUUCGGGGGUUUGACGGUAACCUCAGAGGAAGCCCCGGCUAACUACGUG
rnacentral:rRNA from 1 species